rnacentral:lncRNA from 1 species
AUGUUUGCAUAUGAAACCAAAGCGGUGGUUAAGAAUGUCGGCGCUCGGGAAGAACUCAUCGCCAACGACAACCUGAACCACAACAUGGAGCUGCUGACGCUGGUCCGAGUCACCGAGGGGCGCUUCUGGCAGGUUCCGAAGAUCAAGGUGAUGGACUCCACCCUGCGCGACCUGUUGGAGGAGGAGUUCUCCCCGGAGAUUGAGGAGCAGGUCCUGGUGGAGGACUUCAGCACGAUGAUGCAGCGCAGCGGCAGCGGCAGUGUGGGAGGAAGCGACGGUAACUUGGCUGAAGGUGAAAUCUCUGCCAAAGCCGACAUGGUGGACGGACUGGACCAGCCGGUAACCAUGAUAAGGAAGAAAGCCAAGAUGAAUAAAGUGAGGAGAGUAAAGAAGAGCAACGUGCAGGACCUGGACCUGAGCAGCAGGGACAAGCUGGCGUUUGUCUACCAGACAGUUUACAACAGCGGGCCCGUCAAACUGAUCAGGAAGGCCAAGAAGGAGGGCUCCGUCUCAGCGUCCUGUCAGAAAAUGCUGAGUUUGUUAGUGAAGGGCAGCAUGAAGGAGGAGACGAACUUGACCGUGCCAGAAAAAUCCACCUUUGCUUUUGGUCUGAGGGAGAUCAAGCUGGAGGACAAGUGUCAGGACGGGACUCUGAAGAUCUCCUCUGAGCCCUUCAUUCCUAAAGCUGGACUGGAACGGGUCUUCUGUGACGCCAUCACAGACUCCAGUCCGAUCCUGGAGCAUGUGAAGGAAGGUGUGUGUGUGUGUGUGUGUGUGUGUGUGUGUGUGUGUGUGUGUGUGUGUGUGUGUGUGUGUGUGUGUGUGUGUGUGUGUGUGUGUGUGUGUGUGUGUGUGUGUGUGUGUGUGUGUGUGUGUGUGUGUGCCCUGCCCUCCCUCUGACUGUGAUUGUGUGUCUGCAGAACUGGAGAUGAAGCAGGUUCUGCUGCAGCCGCUGGCAGAGCUUCCUGAGUCCACUUGCUGUGAGCUGCUGAGGACACUGAGACAGCUGCUGGAGGACGGAGACGCUCUGUCCCAGCUGGAGCAGACGGUAAGAUGCUCCGUCUCUGCCAGAGGACAGAGGAGAAUGUCCCGCUUGUCCCCCCUGCAGUAAAGCUGCGUGUGUCUCCUCAGCUGGAUCGGUGCAGUGACGGAGCGUCAGUGCGUCCACAGUCACAGCUCGUCGCCUCCUUCAUGGACCUCCUUGAUGCCUCCACGGCUCUGAAAGACGCCGCCCACCUGCUGGUCAGCGCCAUGGACAGUGAGUCAGCUGACCUAUUAGCACGAGCUUUACUGGUGUGUCC